UUUCUCCUCUUUUCUAGUAGGGGCAAAGAGCACAUCACUGCCCAAAACAGGAGUCAGAAUUUCAGCGGAAGAAUUGAUUUUAUAUCCUGCAUAUUCAGAUACUUUAAAUGAAACCCAAACACAAGAAAGAAAGAUAUACAGAGCAAGCUGGGAUGAGAAAAUAUACAUUGAUGUGUGUGAAUUUUUAACUUACAUCACACACAUCACAUACUUACGAAAACUGUCUGUCAUGUCUAAUGAUUCAUGUGACUCAGGUUAUAAUUCCAAAAGAAACACAACAAUUUUAGAAACUGAGGAACAGUGCAUUGAGGAUGAAAAACCGAACAGAAACCCAACAGAAACAAAAUACGAAGGUCAAAAACAAAGAAGAAGGUCCUUGUAAUCAAUAGCUAGAUUUACAA